UGCCCCAUAGUCUGGGAUACCACUUGGAAACAGGUGCUAAUACCGGAUAAGAAAGCGGAUCGCAUGAUCAGCUUUUAAAAGGCGGCGUAAGCUGUCGCUAUGGGAUGGCCCCGCGGUGCAUUAGCUAGUGGUAAGGUAAAGGCUUACCAAGGCGAUGAUGCAUAGCCGAGUUGAGAGACUGAUCGGCCACAUUGGGACUGAGACACGGCCCAAACUCCUACGGGAGGCAGCAGC
rnacentral:rRNA from 1 species